rnacentral:rRNA from 1 species
UACAGAGGUCCCAAGCGUUGUUCGGAUUCAUUGGGCGUAAAGGGCGCGUAGGCGGCUAUCCAAGUGGCGGGUGAAAUCCCUCGGCUUAACCGAGGAACUGCCUGCCAGACUGGAUGGCUCGAGACCGGGAGAGGUGAGUGGAAUUCCCAGUGUAGCGGUGAAAUGCGUAGAUAUCGGGAGGAACACCAGUGGCGAAGGCGGCUUUCUGGCCUGUUCUUGACGCUGAGGCGCGAAAGCUAGGGGAGCGAACGGG